UAGGUGGACACUGGCGGCGGCGGUGACAAGAGAGCCCUAGGUAGGACUAGGUCGUCGGCUAGGUCGGUUCGUGGUCGAGGUGGGUAGUUAGGUUGGGCGUCGGUCGGUGAGGGAAGGAGCAAAAGUUGUAGUCUAGUUGGUCUCGGGGCGGUGGAGGCCGAUUAGAGGUCAAGGCGAGGUGUAGCAGGGGUUGAGUCCAGUACCGAGACGGGGCGAGUGACAAAGAGGAAGGGAAAAAGAAGACAAGGGAGACCAAGGGAGAGUGGAGGAAGGGCAGAAGAGUUCCUUGGGUGUCUUCCAGCGGCGGCCGUACUUGCAGCGGAGGAGUUCGAGAGGCGGACCCCGGAAGAAGACGAAGCUAGGUCGAGGCAGGAGGCGCGGUUUGUUCCAGACGUAGCGGCGCGCGGACGUAGGCGCUCCCUCUGCUGCAGCUACGGAGGGACCAAGGAGACGUUACAUGCGGGUAGGGGCUGGCUAAGACGUCUCUGCGGCGGGCAGAAGAAGCAAGUGUCGCUCGUGCCGACGACAGGACGAGCGCGUGCAGUUCAAGGAGAAGUAGAACGACGGUUCAGGCACAGCGGAGCGGCAACAUGGGGCAGGAGCUGGAGUGGUCGUCCGGGGUGCGGAGGGAGGUACGGCAGGUCCUUGUCGCGAGCGGGCGGAGGUACGAGCAAAACCAAGCCCUCUCCUCGAAGGCAGGCGUGGUAGGGUUCGGCCUGGAGCGGCUUCCUCGUCGUAGCGGAGGGACUGGAAGCCUGACCGGCCUAGGCGGCGCGGACGCACCUGGAACGGGGAACGGGCCUUGGCGGCGGACGUCCAGAGAAGAGCCAGCCCAGGCGACAACAGUGACAAAGAGACAGCUUGCUCGUUCGAGCUUGGGGCCGCGGUUCAGGUCGGACGAGCUAGGGGACGAAGUCCUGGCUCUGUAGCUUGCGACGGCGGCGUGCAACUGGCAGGUCGAACGGCUCCGGGUCGCGGUCUAGCGUUGUACCGGGUCUAGACGGUCGAGGGACAACCGGGUUACACUCGUCGGGUCUAGGUGGAUUAAGCCGGGGAUAAGGUCUAAGCCGGGUACAUCAAAAAAAAUACAAGACACAAAAUCGAUAAAAAGGUCUCCUCUCGUCAAAAACGUCUCUUGGGGAACGUGAAGUACGUAAAAUUUUGAGUGUUUAGCACGUAGUAUAUAUAUUUGAAAUAUAUACUUUGAACGAAUCUUAAAACAGAUCAAUUUAUUAAAGGUUAAAAGUUGGUACAAAUUUUACUACAAACCAAUUUAAACGAGGAUACGGUACGAUUUUACGAAAUUCAGUAUUGAUUAAUUGGCAUCGAGGCUUGAAUUAUUUGAAAUAUACAUUUACCCCAUCUUUUUACGGAUCAAAUUGUACCACAUGAACAAAACGUACAAAUUAUUGAGAUUUUAACACAAAUCCUAUCUUGUCAUGGUUUGGAUUAUAUACGUAUACCCCUAAAUGGCCUUAACAACAAGCAACAAGGCCGGAGUAUUAAAUUUGAACGGAUAUAUCCAUCAAAAGAAAAAGAAUUGGGAGAACGGUACAAAUUGUUGUAAAUUAUAACAAACCAUGUAUUUGUUCUAGCUUGAUUUAUUCAGUGCACCACAAAGCAGUUAUACGUUGCCUCAACGUAUAACUCGAGGUGAAUUGAACAUCACAACAAACGCGUGAAACGGUACGGUGCGUAUAAAUUUGGCCCGUACGUAGUAUGAACCAACACGUAGUACGGUACUAAUACACUACCAACAAAUGAUACAACAAACGAAGAAAGGCCACAACGAAGAAGCCCAACCAAGGCUAUUGCAGCGCAAACACUCCUGGGCAAACUGAUGCAGGCCAACCGAAGAAGUACCUGAGCAAGAAGAAGGAACGCCCUAGAGUCAAACGUCCACGGCUACAACGGCUCGUCCACUGUGUUGGUUCGAGUCCUCCUCGAGCUACUUCUAGAGCAGGAAACACAACAAAGAAAGAUCAACUAGUCUUCACCUCGGGUCAACCCCAGCUAGCCCCUAGACACAUCUAAAACCCCAUCAGAAGAAAAUAAAACCAAGGCAUCAGCCUGGAACUAACAUAGACUAACUAAUUACGAAAUAAGUAUAAAACACACUUCACCGCUAACAUUCGGUUGAUACAUAGAAAAGGGAAUACAUAAUGUACCCAACACACUUCUAAUGGAGUGAACGCUGUAACGAAAGUUACGCCAAUACGG
rnacentral:rRNA from 1 species